rnacentral:rRNA from 1 species
CAAUAGCGUAUAUUAAUGUUGUUGCAGUUAAAAAGCUCGUAGUUGGAUUUCUGACAGAAGCGACCGGUCCGAACCUUUUAGGUUGGGUACUUUGGUUGUCUUUGGUCAUCCUUGUGGAGAACGUGUGUUGGGCAUUAACUUGUCUCGCAUGGGAUCCACAUCAUUUACUGUGAAAAAAUUAGAGUGUUUAAAGCAGGCAAUCGCUGUGAAUACAUUAGCAUGGAAUAAUAAGAUAGGACUUUAGUAAUAUUUUGUUGGUUUGCAUACUAAGGUAAUGAUUAAGAGGGACAGUUGGGGGUAUUCGUAUUUAAUUGUCAGAGGUGGAAUUCUUGGAUUUAUGAAAGACGAACUACUGCGAAAGCAUUUACCAAGGAUGUUUUCAUUAA